rnacentral:lncRNA from 1 species
AAGUUGACCCAUCUAAAUACUAAAGGAAGAAAUCUCCAACUUAUUGCGAAAUUAUGGGUCUUAGUUCACACUUGAAAUUGAUUGGAAAAAGGAAAAUUUAGAGAAGAUAAAUCACUGUCGACAAAUUUUUGUCUUAAACUUUUUACUUACGAGAUAAAUUUUUUCUUAAAAGGUAAAGUUGAAUGUCCCCCUGCACAUAAGCGCCUAUUGUGGCUUGUAGGUCGACUAAUUAUCUUAUUAUCUCAUAAGAAGUUAUGCCGAAACCGUCCUCUUUUAGUUUUGCCAAAAUCAAUUUGACAAAAAGAUUCCACAACAGUCGAUUGGUUGCUUACUUGAACUUAAUGGGUGCAGGCAAAGAAUCGCAGUCCCCUAUGACUAAAAGUUAGGCACAAGGCUACUAUUCACAUCUGCCAGACAGCAUCAGCGUAUCAGAAAAAGAGGAGCGGAUUACUAAUCACUUGUGAAGUUGAUAAAAGUUCAACAGAAAAAAGAAGCAUGAAUGCUGUAACUAUUUUUCCAGCAAAAUAAGUUCGACCACACAGGAGUGCAGAGACGACAGCUGCAAUUUACAGAAGCGGAGAGUUCCGGUUCACCACAGAGUGCAACAUUAUAGUGUAUUCAAUCUGUCUCUACCGUUAAAUAGAGAGCUGAGGGUAUCAAUUUUCUACCGUUCUUAAUUCUAAUCGCUAGAAAUUAUGGUACCAAAAUAUCUUAAAGAUACGAGUAUCUCUGUUCAAAAAAAGAAAAAAAAAAACAUCAAACAAAUGAAAUCAACAGAUCCACUCAAAACUAAUUUAGCUUUUAGCGACAGUAAUUCACGCCAAAACUCAGAAGAGAGAGAGAGAGAGAGAGAGAGAGAGAGAGAGAGAACACGGGUGGCGAGCUCGCAAGACUGAGUGUUGUCGAUGAUGGAACCGGACUCGCCUCCGCCUUCGCUGCAGCUGCCGCCGCCGCCGCCGAGGAGCUCACUCUGAGGCUCGACACCGCUCGUCUCCGCUUCAGCUUCGUGCCGUCUUUUCUUCUUCGCCAUUCCUGCUCUCCGAUAUCACAAAGUUCCGAUUUUUCGACAAGGUACGAGGUCGACUGGUGAAGGGUUUAGGCGUCGAUGUUGGUGGUGGUAUUGCGUUUCAGGAUCUGAGGCCUGACAGUUGCAUAGAUGGAAGUGGAUGAGCAGGGCUUUAGCAUGAACGUUCUCGGCCUUUGAGAUCGGCAGAAGAGAGACAAAGACUCCUAUCAAACGGUGAAUUCAGCCUCCCUCGCCGGGCCUCAAAACGGGAGGCGGGCUCGGGCUACGCUACACCAAAACGGAAAGUUGAGUGAUAUGGACGGCCCUGAUUUCUCCGGCUACCGAAUGGAGAAUCCUCGCUGUCGACUGUCGAGUGAAAGGGCUGGUUAAGUUUCUUGGGCCUUAACGUUGGUGAUUGGAGAUGGGCAAGGCCCACAAUCCAUGUGGGGAAUGCAGCGCAUAAAACGAGCAGUCUGGCCCAAGGCCUUAAGAUCCACAGCAGAAGCAAUACGAAAAACCCUUCUACGUUGGAAGCUUAGCCUGGAUUCGAUAGUAACACAAUCGGGAGAAGAAAUAUUUGUACUGAUGUUUUCUGAUUAUUACAUAAGCAUAAGGAGCUUGCAAUAUACAGAGUUUUGAGUUGCCGGCCAACCACUGAAAUCAGGUGCGCAACUUACAUUUACAUUCUCUACCAUUAACCAAACUCAGAAGUCCAAGAGAUAAAAGUAUCCUGAAAACAACAAAAAGAUACUCGGACAAGUUGGAUUCCGCAAGAUCAGACUGCCUCUCUUCCUUCAUAUCCUCCACCGAUCAUCAGAACUCAGAGAAUCUUCUACCUUCUCACGCUUGUGUAUACAAAAAGAUUUUAGCUUCUUGAAGCUUGAUGGAUCCGGUUUAGUCUGCCUUGGAUCUCGACCACUUUAGGACAUCACUGCAGAUAAAAUUUCUGGAGCUUCUUCAAGUUGGUCAGGUCAGGCAACUUGUCCAUAGAUGGUACUCCUCCAAGCUUGAAGGCACUUGGGUUCUCCAAAACUCGGAGGCCUCUGAACUCACUUUAGGGCAAUGAAGCCGAGUUAUCCAGACAAGUGGAAAGGAAAGAACGGCUUAUACUGCGUGGGACUGUUGAGGAGAGGGUUCUUGGGAGCUUCUCUCGACGCCCAGGGGCAACUUCCAAAUCUGACGGCGCCUUUGAAUUUGAAAGGUCUAUUGAUGUUUUUAUUUCCCUGCAUGAUUCAGUAUCUAAGUACAGCAAAUUUGGGGGAAGGCCAGGUCGGCAUUGCAGCUUCUUGGAGGGGACCAGUUCCCGUUCCUUGAGCUGUGAAAGAAGAAUGAUGUGUGAAGAUGGGGUGACGAAAUAAUGAGAUUUCAACAGCAAGGAUUCCAGCUUCCCUAACCUUCCAAGCUACCAAGGACUUGGAGCUUCAAUGAAUUUGAAAGCAUCAUCGAAAUUGUCAAAACCUGAAUUUUACAUAUAAUUUGAAUAUCGAAUUAAUAAAUAACUUAACAUCAAAUGAAUGUCUACAGUGAGAUCCUAACAGCAAGGAUUCUAGCUUCCCUAACCUUGUACAGAAUAUUCACCUUAAAAAGAUAUGUAGAAGCACAAAUCUACAUGUCCCUAAACUCCAAACCAACCAAUAUGUAUAAUAUUUUUUAGGGAGUGAGUUUAAGUUCAGUAAAUGAAAGCUCUACUUCCAAAAUGGGAGGCCUACUCACUACUUGAACCGAGAACACAACAAUAACAAUUGGCAAAUAAAGUCAUAUAUCAUUAUAUGACCAAAUCUCAUGAUGCAUAGAUAUCAGCAGCUCAUCGAUAUACACAAGUAAAUAUUUAUUCCCAACUCGUUAAUAGCCAUGACUCAUUCGACGGACUCAACCAACAAGAUAUCGUAACCACUAAAUAAUGCAGGACGAAAUCAUAAAUACAUACCACACUUCAACCCAUUCAUCACAUGUAUCCUCCAACGAUGAUAAAUACAGUAGAAACACAUAACGAUGCCUAUUCGUGGACUCAUUCUCAUCAAGAUUCAUACCCAUUCUAUUUUAUUUCUUUUCUCAAUCUUGGACCUUAAAUUCAUAACGUCAAGUAUGGGCUAUUUAAUUCACAUUAUGUCACGGAAGUCAUAUCAUUUCACGUAUGAAUCAUUGCACUUCAUGUCCUCCAACCCUAUAGAGACCCACCCUAAACAGUAGAAUAAUCAUUUUCUCCAGAGUCUUAUAUACAUACACAGGAAAAUUAACUGCAGUGCUGGUAUAUUACUAACAACACUUGCAGAAUUUCCAUGGAGUUGGUAAUUUACUUAAUUAUUAGAAUAUUGGUAAAUUCCUAAUAGUCUUGUUCAUUCACUUACGACAAUGGUAAAAUUUCAAAGGAGUUGAUAAUUUACGACUUCCUUAUAUCGAUAAAUUUCUGAUAGUGUUAGUAAUUUAUUUAAUAUUCAGGUAGAAUAUAAGAAGAUUUGGUAAUUUACCAAAUUAGUGGAAAUACGAUAAAUUUAUGAUUAUAUUGAUAAUUUACAACUGAUUCACCAAACAAGCAGGUAACCAGUCUUUUUUUUUUUUUAAACCAGCAAAAUUGGAAUUCUACCAACACGGAAAAUUUUCAAUUUUCCAACCCACGGCACCGUAGAAUUUUGCCCGGAAGUUUCUACAUCUCUACUUCUUCGACAAGAACUUAAAUCCCAACUGAUAAUUUCAAUUACUGAAACUUGAUACGUAGUCAUUAAUCAUUCAUAAGCCCCUGUAGAAAUCUGUUUUAAGUUAUGAAAACUAAAGGACCUUUGAGACCAUUGCACAUGAUCAUUAACUAGGGAGGGUUAUGUUCAUGCUAGGCACAAUGUUUUGCCCCUACUUCUUCAUUUCUUCAAUGUGAAAUUUUCAUGGGAAAUCCGCAACAAUUCUGUGAAUAUGGUUGCUGAUGUCUAAUUGAAUUCGUGACACUGAAUGCAACACAUUGAACAUUAAAAUCUGCGAAUAAAUUCUGGAGCAAGUUAUCUUGAAUCCUCAAUGAAUUUCUCCCAUGACGAGAUUAAUUACUAAUUGCACCCGCUAAAAAUUUUAGAAGUAGGACCACAACAGAACAUAAAAAGAAGAAAGAAAUUGCAGAACCAAUCGAUUAUAGGAAGUUUUCAUGCCUUCCAGGACAAUAUUUCGGUUUCAGCUAGACCUUGACAAGCUCAGAAGAACAACUGAUUCCCCAUGUAUGUUUUGAACUAGUUCCUAAGGAGCGAAAAUCAAUCCCCUAAUUGGUGCAGAAGUUAAUUGACGCACAGGAGUAGCAAUGUGUUUCAUAGAAUGCGACUUGUGGUUUAGACCAAAGCUAUUAAAGAUUAGAAACAGAUGGAAAAAAAUCAAUCGAGUCAGCUCCCUAGUGAGUUCAUCGAAAGGCUGUUUUCAUUGCGUAUGAAUGAUAAGUCGUGACUGAAAAUAAUAAAAACAACUCGAUCCGUUCCAAAUCUUUUCCUAAUGCAUCACUGAUUGCAUCGAAGUUUCGCACGCGGACCCAAUUCAUGCAAAAUGCGAAGAGAGAAAAUUACCAGAGAAGGGAUUCAGGUGAAGAUGAAGAAAACUAAAUGAAGAUGGCAGAGAAGGAAGAACCCUCGUUGGCCUCAGUCAGCUGCAACCAAAAUGGAAAAGGAAGACCACGGUCUAUUAACCCUUCGUGGGAACAGAGCGGCAGGCAGGAAGACGUGGUCGCAGUCCCCGGAGGGAGAUCUCCGCUGGGUCGGAUCGCGUCUCGUGAUUCGGCUAGGAGUCGCCGUCGCUGCUGGCUCUGGGCGAGCUUCUCGCUCGGGUCGUCGCUGAUGAGGGGAGGAAGACGAAGUAUGGAGAACGCGAGAGGGCGAGAGAGAGAGAGAGAGGAAGAGAGAGCGCAACGGAAGAAAAAUGAAAGACAAAAAAAAACAAAAAGAGAGAGAGAGAGAGAGAGAGAGAAAGAGAGAGAGUUGAAAUUUCUUAAGAGUGGGGUCCCACUUACGCACGUCAUUUCGAGAUAAUAUUCCUCACCACUCCAGUUCGAUAUCUCUUCUCCGUGAUCCUCUGCGCACGUAACCAUGCCUGUGAUAUCCGCCUACUCUCACUUUUUUCAAAUAUCUGUACUCAUCGGAUUUUAGGAUCUCCUCCAAUUUUUCACAAUCUUCUAUAGACGAGUACUGUAGCUUCUUGAAGCUUGAAGGAUCAGAAAACUUUCGCAGGGACCUGCACUUAAAAAUAUCAAGUCCCUUCAAUGAUUCUAGCCUACCUCGAAUCUCAACUAGACAAGGACAAUCAUAUAAGUCAAGAUGCUCGAGCUCCUUGUUGUUGGUCAGGUCAAGCAACUUAUCUAGCAACGGAAGACCCCACAAACAUAAGUCUAUUAAGUUCUCCGAAUUUUCCAGGCCUUGAAUCUUUUUCAACUUCGGACAGCGAGAUAUAUCUAAGUUUUCUAUAUGCUUGAAGGUUAGUGGAUCAAGCAGCUUUGCAAGUGAUUCACACUUCUCUAAAUAGAGCUCCUUCAACGAUUCUAGAUGACCUCGAACCUCAACCAAUUUAGGACAACCAACUAUCGCAAGGCUCCAGAGUUUCUUCAAGCCUGUCAAGUCAGGCAACUUCACAAGCAAUGGAAGAUUAGCAAGGUCAAGCCUCUGCAGGUUUUUCAAAUGUUCGAGGUCUUGAAUCUUUAUUAGCUGUUCACAACCAUCAUCUUUCAAUUCUAAUAACUUCCCCAAAUAUGAAAGAUUUAUCGACAUUAACUGCUGCCCAACAAAAUGGAAGUAUGACAAAUUCUGGGGAAGCCAAGGUAGGCAUCCUAGGCUAUUUAGGACAAGUUUGAGCUUCCUAAGCUUCGCGAGGAGAUUAAAAUUUGAAGGUAGGGUGACUAGACCAUCACCACCCAACCACAAGGACUCUAGCUUUCUUAACUCUCCAAUCCAAUUGAGGCUUGGAGCUAGAUCAAAAGGGUUUUGAUACUUCACUUCCAACACCAAAACUCUCAAAUUUAAUAGGUUCGAGAGAUCUGGACAUCUCAUCCGUCGAUUACCGGUCAGGUAUAGUUCGGUCAUACUUUCAGGAAGCUUAGGUAUAUUGGAAAUUCCCGUUCCCGUCAACCUCAAGAUUUUUAGAAACGACAAUCUUCUGAUCUCAGUUGGAAUUUCCCCAUACAAAAAUUGACAAUCGCCAGCUUCAAUCUCUUCAAGCUCUUCCAACAUCCCAAGGGCGCUAGGUAGCUUUUCUAAGAUGGAGUGAGAGAGCCUUAGUACUCUCAAAUUCUUCAUUGUCUCUAUUGAGUUGGGUAACUCUCGUAUUUUCGUCCAACAAAGAUUCAACUCAAUGAGAGAUCCAAAAUUUCCAAAUGGAAGUUCACUAAUUCCGGUACUUGUGAAGUUAAGAUAUGAUAGUGAUGUUGAGCAACCAGCUAAAUUGCAUUCACUCAGUAAUCUACAAUAAGCCGCACCGAGAGUUUCCAAUUUCUCCAUUCCUUUCCAUUCAGGAAUGUUGGUAAUAGAUGUGUGAUCAACAAGAAGUUCCGUCAAGGCUUCCAAUUCCUCCAUCUCGUCUGGCAAUGUGUGAAGUUUCCCACAAUAUUUCAAGUUUAAUAACACUAAAUGCUUUAACUCACCAAUAGACCUAUCAACUUGAACCAGUUCUCUGCACCCUUCAAGAAUCAAUUGCUCUAACUUUUGAUGAGCGGAAAAGUUAGGAGUUCUAAGCAAGUUUUUGCAAUCGGUCAAAUUUAGAACCUUCAAAUUCUCUGCCGUCUGUAAUGAAGAGAAGAGGUUGAUUCUGAAUCAUUUAGAGAUAUAGGGAAGCAAAGUCAAUAGAACAAAUUCAUUUUGAAAUAAUACCAUACCUUGAGGUGGUUCCAUCCCUCCCACUCAUCUGAAAUUUUACUCCUUGAUAGAUCAACAAUCACUAGCUUCUUAAGAGAACGUGCGGUGAACUUGAAAAAGAUAGGAAAGUUAUGCCAUGAGAGCCAUCUCAAUUUCGGAAGCAUGAUUGGAUUCCUCUGGACCUAGUUGGUAGAAGGAAAAUGCUGACCGUUGGUCUCCUCCGAGUCUACACAAUCCACUUGAAGAAAUCUUAAUUUUGAUAAGAUAGAUUUUCCAUUCUCAAUGGAGUCUUGAAAUUGAUGAUUAAACAUGAGACGUAUUGCUUCAACAUUUUUUCUUCCCUGCCAAAAAAAUAAUAAUAUCUAAAACUAAAUAGAAGCUAGUGAUCAUAUAAUUGCUUGUUGAAGGCAUUCAAGUUGAAUACAUUUGAGGAAUGUAUAUCUUAUAUAUAAUUUAAAAUUAAUUUACAAUAUAAUUUACAAAUGAGCAUGUCAUCGUACUAAGCACACAAGUAACGACUCGGUUCAGAUAGAAGCAAAUAAGCAAAGUCAACGUUUUUAACUCGUCUCUUUGAAUAGGAAUAACAGUGUGAACACCUUACCUCCUCUGUUUCUAGAACAUCAAUAGCUUCUUCAUGAUCCCACACCCGACUCUGCUUCUCUCUAGCUCUCUCACGAACGAUGACUCGCCCAAGGUCUCUUAACUGAUCAUGCACCCACAGUUGGUUACCUUUUGCGAUCUUUAUUAAUGACCUCUGUUUGAGGACUUCAAGAGAACAUUCAGGGAAAAACUCACAGCUGUCCCACAUGUAAGUCACAAUUCUCACAUUGAACCCAACAAAGAAGCAACAGACAUCAAGAAAUAUUUCCUGCUCUUGAGUUUCUAAUGCCUCGAAACUGAUGUUUAACUUAUUUUUAACCUUUUCAUUGGGAAUGGUCUCCAGCUUCUUUAACACAUUCUUCCAUUUAUUUAUGUCAUUUCUAUGCAAAAGUGAACCUAUAAUUUCAAGAGCCAAAGGAAGAUGACCACAGAUUUCUACUGCUUUUUGCGAGAGGGAGACAUAUUCUGCUGGAGGAGAAUCUCUUCCAAAGGCAUGUCUGCUAAACAGUUGAAGAGAAUGACCAAAAUCCAUUUCAGUAAGUUCAUGUUGAAAAUCAACAACUUUGAGAAGUUCCUUGUCUCUUGUAGUAAUAAUAACCUUACUUCCUCUGCUGAACCAACAUUCACCUGUCCCCACAAGAGCCUCCAGCUGAGUGUUUUGGUCGACAUCAUCAAGUAAAAGUAAAACCUUUUUAGAGGAUAACCUAUUCUUGAUUUCAGUAAUCCCUUCAUUAAUACUCUUGAUGGAUGGGCAUUCCUUUCUUAGGACGUCGGAGAUGAGUUGAUUCUGCAAACUAACAAUCUUUGUUUCUCGAAUGUUAGAUAGGAAGCAACAGUUAUCAAAAUCAGCCAACAGUUUAUUAUAGAGAAUUGUGGCAAGAGUUGUCUUUCCGACACCACCCAUACCAUAGAUACCAACAAUCUUUGUUCCGGUGGUCUGUUCGCCUAUCUUUUCCAUGAUUUGGUCCACUUGAUCAUCCAUUUCAACCAAGCAAUUAGUUACUGCCAGGUAGUUCUUUUUCAACUCGAUCAAAAGCUUCUGAACAAUUUCUUUUGUGAACUCGCCUUUGCCUCUGAUAAUGUGGAAGGCAACAGAACCAAACUGUUAAAUCAAGAUUAAGAGAAUAAUAUCUAAGGUACAAGCAAACCAUGCACAAUAAUAAAUUCAAGUACCUCUCCUUGAGUUCCCAUCCCUUUAAUUUUCCAACCUUGUUGAGAGCGGCCUUCCAGUUCUGAAUAGUCUCAUUAGUGUACAGCUGCUUAUUUACGUGUGACUGAAUGGCCUCGCCAUAAGUUCUAGUCUGCUUACGAACCUCGGAUGGUUCAACGUCAUAGAAAAUUGGCAUGAUCUCUUGUCCCCACUUUUCCUUGCACUCCACCAUCUGGACCAACUCCAUGAGGCACCAUUUACUGGCAGCAUAUUGUUUAGAAAAGAUAGGAAUCGAGAUUUUUGACUGCUUAAUCGCUUGGAGAAGCUCUGGGCCAAUAUCUUUCCCAACGCGAAGCUCUUCAUCAUCUCUGUAUGCUCGUAUUCCGGCAUCAACAAGGCUGUGGUAAAGGUAAUCAGUGAUGUCGCGGUGAGUAUCGGAUCCUCUAAAGCUCAAGAAUACUUCAUGAUAAGGUUCCAUUGGCUUCUCCAUUUCCUGAAUUUUCGAAGGACUUGCAACGACUUGAUAUCCCACCUGAAAAACAUUUACUAUGAAAGUGAGGUGAUGAUUAUCAUGAUUUCUCUCAGAAACUCUUCUCUUUAAAGUCAUUCUAAAAAGCAAUCUCAAUGAAAAAUGUGUGAGCUCCUUCUGGCAUUGCACUAGACACCAAAAUAUGUCCAAUUAUGGUAGAGAAGCUGACCCAGCUAAAUACUAAAGGAAGAAAUCUCCAACUUAUUGCGAAAUUAUGAGUUUUAGUUCGCACUUGAAAUUGAUUGGAAAAAAGGAAAAUUUAGAGAGAUAAAUCACUGUCAACAUAUUUUUGUCUUAAACUUUUUACUUAUGAGAUAAUUUUUUUCUUAAAAGGUAAAGUUGAAUGUCCUUUGCACAUAACCGCCUGCUGUGGCUUGUAGGUUGACUAAUUAUCUUAUUAUCUCAUAAGAAGUUAUGCCGAAACCGUCCUCUUUUAGUUUUACCAAAAUCGAUUUGACAAAAAGAUUCCACAAUAAUCGAUUGGCUGCUCACUUGAACUUAAUGGGCACAGGCAAAGAAUUGCAGUCCCCUAUGACUAAUAGUUAGGCACGAGGCUACUCUUCACAUCUAACAGACAGUAUCAGCAUAUCAGAAAAAGAGGAGCGGAUUACUAAUCACUUGUGAAGUUGAUAAAAAUUCAACAGAAAAAAGAAGCAUGAAUGCUAUAACCAUUUUUCCAGCAAAAUAAGUUUGACCACACAGGAGUGCCAGGAGUGCAGGGAUGACAGCUGCAUUUUAUGGAAGCGGAGACUUCCGGUUCACAAC